rnacentral:rRNA from 1 species
UACGGAGGGGGCUAGCGUUGUUCGGAAUUACUGGGCGUAAAGCGCACGUAGGCGGAUCGGAAAGUUGGGGGUGAAAUCCCAGGGCUCAACCCUGGAACUGCCUUCAAAACUCCCGGUCUCGAGUUCGAGAGAGGUGAGUGGAAUUCCGAGUGUAGAGGUGAAAUUCGUAGAUAUUCGGAGGAACACCAGUGGCGAAGGCGGCUCACUGGCUCGAUACUGACGCUGAGGUGCGAAAGCGUGGGGAGCAAACAGG